CCUACGGGAGGCAGCAGUGAGGAAUAUUGGUCAAUGGGCGAGAGCCUGAACCAGCCAAGUCGCGUGAGGGAGUACUGCCCUAUGGGUUGUAAACCUCUUUUGUCGGGGAGCAAAAGCCGGACGUGUCCGGCUGUGAGAUUACCCGAAGAAAAAGCAUCGGCUAACUCCGUGCCAGCAGCCGCGGUAAUACGGAGGAUGCGAGCGUUAUCCGGAUUUAUUGGGUUUAAAGGGUGCGCAGGCGGCUUUUUAAGUCAGCGGUAAAAUCGUGGGGCUCAACCCCAUCCAGCCGUUGAAACUGGGGAUCUAGAGUGUGCGAGAGGUAUGCGGAAUGCGUGGUGUAGCGGUGAAAUGCAUAGAUAUCACGCAGAACCCCGAUUGCGAAGGCAGCAUACCGGUGCACAACUGACGCUCAGGCACGAAAGCGUGGGUAUCGAACAGGAUUAGAUACCCCGGUAGUC
rnacentral:rRNA from 1 species